rnacentral:RNase_P_RNA from 1 species
AAAGUUAGCUGGAUGAUCGCAGAUUAUUUUAUAAUUUGAGGAAAGUCCGGGCUCCAGACAAAAUGGAUGCCGGAUAACGUCCGGCGGGGUAUUCUUUAAGGAAUAUUUUAGGGAAAGUGCCACAGAAAUUAUACCGCUAUUUAUUUAGUAAGGGUGAAAUGGUGCGGUAAGAGCGCACCGCGCGUUUGGCAACAAACGUGGCAGGGUAAACCCCAUCCGGAGCAAGACCAAAUAGGGAUAACUGAUUUUUUUAAAAUCGCGUGUGUUUGUCCACGUUGUUAUCCGGGUAGGUUGCUAGAGCUAAAAAGUAAUUUUUAGCCCAGAUGAAUGAUCAUCCAGAAAGUUUAACUUUUGGACAGAACCCGGCUUAUAGGCUAGCUUUGCAU